rnacentral:rRNA from 2 species
GAUGAACGCUAGCUACAGGCUUAACACAUGCAAGUCGAGGGGCAGCAUGGAAGAAGCUUGCUUCUUCUGAUGGCGACCGGCGCACGGGUGCGUAACGCGUAUCAAACCUGCCUCAUACUCGGGGAUAGCCUUGCGAAAGUAAGAUUAAUACCCGAUGUUGUUAUGUUACCGCAUGGUGAUAUAACCAAAGAUUUAUCGGUAUGAGAUGGUGAUGCGUCCGAUUAGGUAGUAGGCGGGGUAACGGCCCACCUAGCCUUCGAUCGGUAGGGGUUCUGAGAGGAAGGUCCCCCACACUGGAACUGAGACACGGUCCAGACUCCUACGGGAGGCAGCAGUGAGGAAUAUUGGUCAAUGGACGAAAGUCUGAACCAGCCAAGUAGCGUGCAGGAUGACGGCCCUCUGGGUUGUAAACUGCUUUUAGUUGGGAAUAAAAAAGAGGACGUGUCCUCUAUUGUAUGACCUCAG